CACCACGCCUGGCCUCUCUCUUCCUCUUCUUCUAAGACCACAGUCCUGUCAGAUCAGGGCCCCAACCUUCCAACCUCACCUAACCUUAACUACCUCCUAAAGACUCUACCUCCCGAUACAAUCAUAGGGUGGGUUAUGGCUUCAACAUAUGAAUUUGGGGGAAAACAAUUCAGCUUAUAGUAAUUGUGUUUGGAAGAGAAUAAAUGAUAAGGCUGCUUUGUUCAUCCCAAACCUUUCCUCCUUUGAUAACUCCCAGGCCCACCCACGCAAGAAGAUUUAUCCUCAAUGGUUUCUAGUCCAUUCCUGCUCUGGACUGUGGUUUUACGACACGCUUUUGCAGGUUGUAUCCUGCACAAAGGCCCCAGCUGACAGGGAAGCAGGGGCUGAAACCCAGCCUGAGCUCAUGCCUUUGUCCUGGUGUGAGCAGCAUCACCCCAAAGGGCAUCUUUCCUAAAAAUGACACUUUAUGGGUUGGUGGCACCUGGCUUUCGGGCCAUUUCUUACUUUAGAAGUUUUUGCUUCCUAUGCAUGGAAUCCCAGAGAGGGCAAAAAGAGUGUGAACAGAGCCCAAGGGAGCCCUGGGCUGUGGGGGGCCCCACCGGUGGAUGGAUGGGGGGAGCAGCCAAGCAGGAGCAGUAUAGCGGAGGUUAGGAGCGGUUCGGCUGCGAGAGCACUGGGUUCUGAGCUAGUUGUGCACUUGCUGCACGUGGCCCUGGGCAAAUCAUUCUACUUCUCAGAGCCUUAGACCCCAUCUGUAAAGCAAGGGCAAUACUUCACAGGUGGGAGUACAGAUUAGCAAAAAUGUCCACAAAUCACUUAGCACAGUGCCUGACACAGCAGUGAUCCUUGUUAGGGCCAGUAGAAGAGGCAUCCUCAAGCUCUGGGGGUCCUCAUUGCAUCCUCUCUGGGAGACUGGAAUGUAUCCUUGAAGAACAGCAGAGUAAGUGUCAAAAUCAAGCACAGUGGCUCUGCAGUGGGGCUGCAUAGGAACACAUCCUCGUUCCAUCACUAUUUCAUCAUGGACAAGGUGCCUCCCCUGUGUGGGCUGCAGGGUUUUCAUCAGUAAAAUGGAGAAUAAAAAUAGGACCUGCCUCCCUGGUUUGUAGGAAAAAGUUCGAGCUAAUACGUAAAAAGUACACAGAACACUAUCCAAUAUAUCAAACAUUCCAUAAAUACUGGUUGCAUUUUUUUUCUUUAGCUUCAAAUAUCGGUUGGUAACUACAGGUUGUUUUCACAAAAAUAAAAGUUAUAAUCGUCAAAUUACUUAAUUUUAUAAAAUAUGUUCAAUCGUGGCGUUUCAGCUAACUCUUGCAACAAGCCCUAGAGAUAGGCAGGACACUCUUUAUUUUUAUUUCGUGGAGGAGGUUGGAUUCGCAAAUGGUUACCUUGGGCAAGUUUACACGUGUCAGACCCAUCCCUUCAACCUAGCUCUGUCUCCAAGAAUCCGGUGACCCCUCAACUGCUGGUGGCACAUGGGUCCUUUGAAGAGAUGUCUUCUCACUUGUUUUAGAGGUGCAUCGUAUAGAAUUGGCAAGUGCCAUGUGCUGGAAAACACCAGGUUUUCAUGAGGAGCACACUCACAUCUUUGAGGGCAGGCAGUAUGAACUCUGAAGUCAAGCGGCAGCGUUCAAAUUCCUGCUCAACCACUUAGCCAGGUGGCCUUAGGCAAGUGCUCCUCAAGAGGUUCCCCUCUGUGAAUCAGGGACGCUGCCUAGGAUAGAUGUUGGUUAUUGGUAUUACUUAGUAUCCAUCCAGGUGUGGAAUGUCCUGAGGCUGGGAAGGCUGGAGACCGCAGUUCGACAAAACAGCCGCUAGAGGUCCCCAUGGAGCCGCAUUGAACAUCCAAGAAUUCUGUUUAAUCCUCCUGUCUUGGGCCAGACCAGCUGGCCCUGCUGGAACUGAGGGCCCCUCUUUGUCCUGAUAAGCACUCUUCCUUCCCUUAAAGCUGGUGACCCUUCUAAGGGGCUGUCAAGGGCUAAUGCUGAGACUCACAGGUUCCUGACCUUCAGUCCCCAGAAGUGGGCCCUCAGGUUUAAUCCUGAGGCGAGGGGUUGCAGGCCUGUUCCAGUGGAUUCCCAGGGGCCAGGAUGGGCUCUGUGAGGACUCCAGGUCAGGCUGUCUCCACCCUGGGCAAACUCAGGCAACCUUUUCGUCUUUCACUUUUAGAAAAGACAAAAAUGUAAUCUGCAUGAAGUCAGGGUGUCUUGGCAGACCCUGCAGGCCAGGAGCCAGACCCUCAUAGGGAAGGAACCCUGGACAUGGGCCAUCACUGCAUGCCUGGGAUGUGGCCCAGAGGCAGCACACAGCACAACCCUGUGGGGAGGUAACAGCUAGUGGAGCUGAAAGAGAAAGGGGCACUGGAGAAGCAGGAAUCAUUAUACGAAAAUUUAAUUUCCAGCUGGAAGACAUCUUGUGGAGACCAUCUAGUUCAGCUUCUUCAUUGUAUAGCUGAGGACACCCAGGCCCAGAGAGGGGAAGUGAUUUGGUCAAAGUCACACAGCAAGUAAAGGACAAAGCUGAGAGCAGAUCCCAGGCAAGCUUCUUCCAUCUGGUGAAAAAGAUGAACACCAGGCGUGUCUGAUCUUCCCAGAGGAAGAAGGGAGCAUCUUUUUGAACAGCAUUUCUGUGAGAAAUGGGAUCCUAAGGUGGCCUCCAAGAUUGACACGCCAUGGUACAAUCUUCGUGAUCGUAAGAAGAACCUGUGAAUACGAUGAGCUAUCACUCCUGUGCUUUUGCGGUUUUAUGUGGCAAAGGGAGAGUGUUCUGGGUGGGCCUGACCUGAUCAGGCAUAUCCUCUAAAAUCAGAGUUUUCUCCAGCUGGUUCCAGAAGACUAAGUCAGAGAGAUGCUCUGUGUUUGGGCCAGAAGCAAGCAAACAUCCACAUUGUGAACUGCCUAUGGGGGCCACCUGGCAAGGAACUGCAGGUGUUUUCUGGGACCUGAGAGCAUUCCCUGGCCAAUCAUUAGCAGGAAAACAGGAACUCACUCCUAUAACUGAGAGGAAAUAAAAUUUACCAACAACCAAUGAGCCUGGAAGAAGACCCUGAGCCUCAAAUGAGAACUGCAGCCCCAGCCAACACUGAUUUCAGCCUUGUAAGUACCUGAGCAGAGAACUCAGCCAUGCUAUAUCAGGACUUCUGACCUACAUUACUGUAAGAUCAUAAAUGUGUUGUUUUAAGCCACUACAUUUGUGAUAGUUUGUUAUGCAGCAAUAGAAAGCUAAUACAACUUCCAAAAAUUCUACUGUGUAA